GGGGAAAUAGCUCAGCAGUAAAGCACCUGCUCUGCAUGCAGAAGUUCUGAGGUUGAAUUCCUAGCAUCUCCA